rnacentral:rRNA from 1 species
GAUGAACGCUGGCGGCGUGCCUAAUACAUGCAAGUCGAGCGAACAGAUGAGUAGCUUGCUUCUCUGACGAUAGCGGCGGACGUGUGUGACACAUGUGGAUAACCUACCUAUCAGACUGGGAUCACUUCGGGAAACCGGAUCUACCACCAGAACAUCUUUUGAACCGCAUUGAUCAUUAGUAAAAGGCGGUUUUGCUGUGACUUAUAGAUGGAUCCGCGCCGCAUUAGCUAGUUGGUAAGGUAACGGCUUACCAAGGCAACGAUGCGUAGCCGAGCUGAGAGGGUGAUCGGCCACACUGGAACUGAGACACGGUCCAGACUCCUACGGGAGGCAGCAGUAGGGAAUCUUCCGCAAUGGGCGAAAGCCUGACGGAGCAACGCCGCGUGAGUGAUGAAGGUCUUCGGAUCGUAAAACUCUGUUAUUAGGGAAGAACAAAUGUGUAAGUAACUAUGCACGUCUUGACGGUACCUAAUCAGAAAGCCACGGCUAACUACGUG